GCACGCGCUUCAGAGAGGCGCGCGCGGCGUCAUGGUGCGCUGCUGUCCACGAGGCGGAGUGCUGAAACGACUGUGAGCCUCUCAGUAUGCUUUUACUGCAUAGACUGGCAGUGUUUUUGGGAUCUUUGCCAUGCUGAAAAAUGACCCGCUGCCAAUGAAUUGCUUUCCCGAUGGUAUUGGACGAGUUCAUCAUCUGUGUGAAUCAUCUGUGCGUUAAGCUUCAUCUGAUGAAGCUUAACAGAUAAACAAAGCCCCACAGAAAAAGGAAGAUCUGCAAUUUUCUCUGUUUAACCACAUCCACAGUUCACUGAAGGAAUUCCUCAGAGGCAAAACAAAGAA